UCUAGUAUCAAAAUUUUACUACAAAGUGUUAAGAUAAUUUUGGUCAAAGUCAGUCUCGUCUAAAAGGAGUUUGGAACCUCAGUGAGUAAAUGACUAAACUCACAAUGAGUAAAGGAAGGUUGGGUUAGGAUUGCAAUUAUGUUAGCAAAUCAUGUCCCCUUUUGCCAUGCUCCACGUCCAAAUCUCCCCAUAACCCACUUCGCUUCCCUUCAUUGAAUGGGGCUCCGUUUCAUCGGCCCCAACCAACAUGUUCAAAGGAUCAUGACUGUUUUAAGACUGAAAAGCCCAUGCAAUACAUGCUUCCAGCAGGAUGCACAGCCYWCAACUAUGGUUUGGAUGCCCUGCCGAAAGACCUCAUCAUCAUGCGGAAUAGGAGGUUGGAGUACGUUGGUCCCAACAAAUUGCACAGUUGGGUGCAAGACUGAACCCCUGGUCAUGAAUGGAUGCCGGUGACCUACCAGAAGGCGCAAAGCUUGUCAGGCAAGACCUCUGAAUAAAAGUGUGUCAUGCGACUCAAGUACCCUUGUGACACCUAAUCGGUUGUUGCUAGAGUCUCCCUGGACUCCUAUGAAAAGGACACGCCAUCAUGAGGCCUCUGAUAGUGAUCUGAGUUACUGCCCUGAUGACACAUACAGCGUCAUCAACAAUGACAGGUAUUGUGUGUUGUGGGAAGUUGUAUUAAAAAAUACCCGGCUUGACCAUUCUUUAGAAUAAAAUGCUAUUUACUACUUGGCUGUGUAUUAUAUCACCCUGUCACAGGCACUCCCAGUCAAAACUACCUCAUAAGAUUGCCUGCUGUAGUUGUUCGAGAGAUGUCCAGUUUGCAGCCGAACAUGCAGCAUAGAGAAGACCAACAAGGGGGCCCUCAUCAACAUCAUGCAGACACCCUCGCUGUGAGCAUUCCUAUGAAUGGAACAAUCAGCCACAUGUUGGCAAGUAUCCGGCCAGCAACCUUCACCUGUCAUUGGCAACAGCUUUGAGGCUCUGGGGCUCUGGCAAAGAACUCACCUCUUGCCUGCUCACCAACGGUCGUCAAUGGGGUGAACAAAAUUACGUAGGUUUAGUCUGACCUGUUCAAACUUGAACAUAGUACCUGUUUGUGUGUCAGAUWUUACCUAUCCUA